rnacentral:rRNA from 1 species
AGAGUUUGAUCCUGGCUCAGAUUGAACGCUGGCGGCAUGCCUAACACAUGCAAGUCGAGCGGCAGCGCGGGGGCAACCCUGGCGGCGAGCGGCGGACGGGUGAGUAAGGCAUCGGAAUCUGCCCUGAUGUGGGGGAUAACGUAGGGAAACUUACGCUAAUACCGCAUAAGCUCUGAGGAGGAAAGCGGGGGACCGAAAGGCCUCGCGCUGAAGGAGCGGCCGAUGUCCGAUUAGCUAGUUGGUGAGGUAAAGGCUUACCAAGGCGACGAUCGGUAGCUGGUCUGAGAGGAUUAUCAGCCACACUGGGACUGAGACACGGCCCAGACUCCUACGGGAGGCGAC